rnacentral:rRNA from 1 species
GACGAACGCUGGCGGCGUGCCUAAUACAUGCAAGUUGAGCGAUGAAGCUUGGUGCUUGCACCCAUUUGAAGAGCAGCGAACGGGUGAGUAACGCGUGGGGAAUCUGCCUUUGAGCGGGGGACAACAUUUGGAAACGAAUGCUAAUACCGCAUAAUAACUUUAAACAUAAGUUUUAAGUUUGAAAGAUGCAAUUGCAUCACUCAAAGAUGAUCCCGCGUUGUAUUAGCUAGUUGGUGAGGUAAAGGCUCACCAAGGCGAUGAUACAUAGCCGACCUGAGAGGGUGAUCGGCCACAUUGGGACUGAGACAAGGCCCAAACUCCUACGGGAGGCAGCAGUAGGGAAUCUUCGGAAAUGGACGAAAGGCUGACCGAGCAACGCCGCGUGAGUGAAGAAGGUUCUCGGAUCGUAAAAGUCUGUUGGUAGAGAAGAACGUGGGUGAGAGUGGAAAGCUCAUCAAGUGACGGUAACUACCCAGAAAGGGACGGCUAACUACGUG